rnacentral:rRNA from 1 species
GACGUAGGGUGCAAGCGUUGUCCGGAUUUAUUGGGCGUAAAGAGCUCGUAGGCGGUUUGGCAAGUCGGGUGUGAAAACUCCGGGCUCAACUCGGAGACGCCACUCGAUACUGCCAUGACUCGAGUCCGGUAGGGGAGUGCGGAAUUCCUGGUGUAGCGGUGAAAUGCGCAGAUAUCAGGAGGAACACCGGUGGCGAAGGCGGCACUCUGGGCCGGUACUGACGCUGAGGAGCGAAAGCGUGGGGAGCGAACAGG